UGAGUAAUUAACGAGCUCGUUAACGAGCAUCGGCUCAUUAACAUCCCCACCGCUCAUUAACGGGGUCAUUAACGGGGUCAUUAACGGGGUCAUUAACGGGGUCAUUAACGGGGCACAGCGCCAUCCUGGCGGCGCCAAAUCCUGACGAGAAGACCAAGCAGGAGCUCGAGGACCUCACGGCCGACAUCAAGAAAACGGCCAACAAAGUGCGCUCCAAGUUGAAAGGUGACCACUCCGGCCACUGAGUGAC